rnacentral:rRNA from 1 species
CAGCCCCGUACACAAAAGCGCAUGUGCUGUGAGCUCGAUGAGUAGGGCGGGACACGUGGUAUCCUGUCUGAAUAUGGGGGGACCAUCCUCCAAGGCUAAAUACUCCUGACUGACCGAUAGUGAACCAGUACCGUGAGGGAAAGGCGAAAAGAACCCCGGCGAGGGGAGUGAAAAAGAACCUGAAACCGUGUACGUACAAGCAGUGGGAGCACAGGUUUACCUGUGUGACUGCGUACCUUUUGUAUAAUGGGUCAGCGACUUAUAUUCUGUAGCAAGGUUAACCGAAUAGGGGAGCCGGAGGGAAACCGAGUCUUAAUUGGGCGUUAAGUUGCAGGGUAUAGACCCGAAACCCGGUGAUCUAGCCAUGGGCAGGUUGAAGGUUGGGUAACACUAACUGGAGGACCGAACCGACUAAUGUUGAAAAAUUAGCGGAUGACCUGUGGCUGGGGGUGAAAGGCCAAUCAAACCGGGAGAUAGCUGGUUCUCCCCGAAAGCUAUUUAGGUAGCGCCUCGUGAAUUCAUCUCCGGGGGUAGAGCACUGUUUCGGCUAGGGGGCCAUCCCGGCUUACCAACCCGAUGCAAACUGCGAAUACCGGAGAAUGUUAUCACGGGAGACACACGGCGGGUGCUAACGUCCGUCGUGAAGAGGGAAACAACCCAGACCGCCAGCUAAGGUCCCAAAGUCAUGGUUAAGUGGGAAACGAUGUGGGAAGGCCCAGACAGCCAGGAUGUUGGCUUAGAAGCAGCCAUCAUUUAAAGAAAGCGUAAUAGCUCACUGGUCGAGUCGGCCUGCGCGGAAGAUGUAACGGGGCUAAACCAU